AGUGAACGCUGGCGGUAGGCCUAACACAUGCAAGUCGAACGGCAGCACAGUAAGAGCUUGCUCUUACGGGUGGCGAGUGGCGGACGGGUGAGGAAUACAUCGGAAUCUACUUUUUCGUGGGGGAUAACGUAGGGAAACUUACGCUAAUACCGCAUACGACCUACGGGUGAAAGCAGGAGAUCUUCGGACCUUGCGCGAUUGAAUGAGCCGAUGUCGGAUUAGCUAGUUGGCGGGGUAAAGGCCCACCAAGGCGACGAUCCGUAGCUGGUCUGAGAGGAUGAUCAGCCACACUGGAACUGAGACACGGUCUAGACUCCUACGGGAGGCAGCAGUGGGGAAUAUUGGACAAUGGGCGCAAGCCUGAUCCAGCCAUACCGCGUGGGUGAAGAAGGCCUUCGGGUUGUAAAGCCCUUUUGUUGGGAAAGAAAAGCAGCAGGUUAAUACCCCGCUGUUCUGACGGUACCCAAAGAAUAAGCACCGGCUAACUUCGUG
rnacentral:rRNA from 1 species